CACUCACCCAGGUGUGGAGGAAGAAGCAAACCUCGGCUCCCUCCAGCCAGCUUCAGCCUGGAUCCAGACAAGCCCAGCAUGCCACAGGGCUGCCAUGGGAGGAGGGGCCGAGGUGUGCGUGACGUCACGAGGAAGGGUAAAAGCACUCAUGGGAGUCACCCAGAUGCCAGAUGCCACCAUCCCAGCCUGACACUCUGGACAUGGCCUACAAUCAAUACCUCUCUCUCCUAACAUAGGCAGGGAAUACUCUACGCCCAUUCUCAGCUGUGAAGAAGUUACAGAAGACAGACCACCGUCCCUUUUCCCUUACAUAUUAGGAGAGGGGGGAGAGGACAUGGGCACUGUACCCCAAGAAACUCGGGCUGACUAUUUUCAGGGAAAUUCCUUUGCUCCCUUACAUCCUUGUGACUCCUAGCAACAGUAAAUACCUUCUGCCACCUGAAGGCGCCCAGUGCUUGUGCGCAUCCUCAGGUUUGACCCCCUGUGUAGCUAAAGACGCCAUAGAAUCAAAGGUCUUAAUUGGAGAGGGCUAGAUCUUCUAUUCUCUGUGCUGCCCAUUGGGAGGAGUGUUGCUUCUACACAGACCAUAUUGGAGAGUCCCUGGCAGAACUUCAGAAGAGCCUAAGUUCCUGCGACCUGGCUCUGUCCGAAUCUCAGGUGUGGUACCUGCAAGUUUUUCAGACAUCCCCCUGGCUCACUACUUUGAUCUCAACACUAGUAUGCCCCCUCCUAGUACAUCUCCUCCUCUUAACCUUUUGGCCCUGUACAGCGAUAUCUACCCAUGGCUACUGUGAACCUUAAAAAUUCCCAGACCCUACUUCAUAAGAUUGGAUUAAGACCAUUCCCCAUUUGGGCAGUGAACUCUACUUAGAUCAGGAAUGUGAGAACUCUACUUCACCUACUUAAGUCUGCCCUAGGGGAAGAUAAAGUUGUAAACUCUUUUCUGAACAAUGAAAAGUACCUAAACCCAUACUUAUAAUAAGACAAAAAGUUCUUAAGAUAAGUACCGAUAAAAGUCAAACAACUUGUGAAUUUACAAGGAACAAAGAGCUGAGAAACUUACUCAGAGCUUUCCUGGUGUGAAUUACUCAAAAAUCCACACCUUCUUAGGUGUGGACUAAGAAUGGGCGGUCCUUUAGAAACAUCUACAGUGAUUGGUAGAUGUAAGGACUUAGGGGAGGUGACAUAGGAGAAAAUUCCCUAUAUAAGGAGAUGACAGGCUCUUAAAAGAAAGACAGUCUCUAAGGAGGCUGUUGGGAGAGAGCUCUGAAGAGUCUCUAAGGAGGCUGACUCUUGCUGGAACUCCCUCUGAGGAGACUCUGUCCCUCUGAAUCCUUGCUUGGACAGAUCUUGUGGUGAGUGAUUAAGGACUGACUGAUCUCUCUCUUAAGACUCAGGUCUAGGCCAUGUUGGCUAAGGCCCUUCAUACUUAUUCCUCUUUUAUUCUCUCUCUCCUUCUUUAAUUCCUCAUUGUAUUAUUAAUUAAAAUCUCUAUAAAACCCAGUUGACUUAGGUAUAUUUCAUAAUUGGGAAUAUUUCCGUGGCAACCACCUUAUAUAUUGAUUUAAAAACAAGACACUGUAGUGAAAACAUAUUUCCUGCGGUCAAAAUUUACUCACCCACUCUUAUAUCUACUACAAUUUAAGUCUUCCACUAUUUUAUUCACUACAGUUUAUAGACCUCAACUAUUUUAAUUACUACACUACAGAAGAGGGUUCCCCCAUGAUGAGGCCUUUCCCAUGAGGAUGAUUCCUCAUGGUGGUCCCUGAAAAAAGUGAGGAAUGAAGUAAAGGAAAAAGGGAACAGGAAAUCCAACCCACCUGAUAAACACAUCCUCCAGCUAUGCUGCCCAGUUGCAAACAUUUCAGCAAAUAGCUGACCUUAGGGUGUUUCAGGACUGUUGCAACAUUUCAGAGAAAUCACUAGCCUCAAAGUGCUCUAGGGUUUAAACAAUCAUCCAGGUUAAGUAAUAUUGUGAGGUAUAUACAUAGGGUCCCAACUCUGGGAGGAUGGAACUGCUUGGCUGAGCUUUCCCCUAGCAUGCUAGUGAUAGUGUGCUAGUAAUAAAGGCUUUCCCUUGCUUGAA